UACAGAGGGUACGAGCGUUAAUCGGAAUUACUGGGCGUAAAGCGCGCGUAGGCGGCUUUGCAAGUCGAUUGUGAAAUCCCCAGGCUUAACCUGGGAACUGCAUUCGAGACUGCAUGGCUAGAGUAUGGGAGAGGGAAGUGGAAUUUCAGGUGUAGCGGUGAAAUGCGUAGAGAUCAGGAGGAACACCGGUGGCGAAGGCGGCCUACUGGGCCAGCACUGACGCUGAGGCGCGAAAGCUCGGGGAGCGAACGGG
rnacentral:rRNA from 1 species